rnacentral:rRNA from 1 species
GACAGAGGGUGCAAACGUUGCUCGGAAUUACUGGGCGUAAAGCGUGCGCAGGCGGUUAUGUAAGACAGUUGUGAAAUCCCCGGGCUCAACCUGGGAACUGCAUCUGUGACUGCAUAGCUAGAGUACGGUAGAGGGGGAUGGAAUUCCGCGUGUAGCAGUGAAAUGCGUAGAUAUGCGGAGGAACACCGAUGGCGAAGGCAAUCCCCUGGACCUGUACUGACGCUCAUGCACGAAAGCGUGGGGAGCAAACAGG